rnacentral:rRNA from 1 species
UACGUAGGGAGCAAGCGUUAUCCGGAUUUACUGGGUGUAAAGGGCGUGUAGGCGGGCCUGCAAGUCAGAAGUGAAAUCUGGGGGCUUAACCCCCAAACUGCUUUUGAAACUGUGGGUCUUGAGUGAUGGAGAGGCAGGCGGAAUUCCCAGUGUAGCGGUGAAAUGCGUAGAUAUUGGGAGGAACACCAGUGGCGAAGGCGGCCUGCUGGACAUUAACUGACGCUGAGGCGCGACAGCGUGGGGAGCAAACAGG